AGUUCAAGCCAGGUAUUAGUUCUGAAUUUUAUUUUAUUAGCCCAAAGAAGGUUCUUUAAGCUUUUCUUCUCAGUUUAGCCACUCAGAUCUCAGAAUGCAGCUUACAUGCUGGCAGCCCUGUCCUCAGAGGAGUGAUUUGUUAAUAGAAUAUUCAGUCUGUUAUUUCUCUGACAAAAGAAUCCCCCCUUCUCUGCCACAACCCCUUGUGUCAGAGGUGUUAAUGUUAAUGGCAGUACUUUUCUGAUUACAGUUCUGCAUUGGUUUAAAGGGUCUUGCAAAUAAGUCUGAUCUCCCUGCAAUAAGGAAAGGAUAAAAUGGGCCAGAUUUCUGGCAGCACAUUUUGCUGUGGGAAAGGGGAUUUCCUCAUUCUCUGUGUCCAGCCAGGCCCCUCUCCAGGCCAGCUUUGCUGGGAUGGCAGCUGUGGCUUUUCCUGUUGGCCAGGCAGAGGACAUUGAAUGUUCUCCCUGCUGGUCCCUGCACAGAGGGGAACAGGCAGGGCCCAGGCUGGGCUCAGGGCAGAAAGGAUGCUCUGCUGAUAAGGCAAUGGGGUCUGCAGCCUCCAGGGAAACCUGCCAAAACCUUUCUCUAGCAACUGUGGGGAUUAGCCAAAAAUCAAUAGUAAAGGCAGUCACCAGGGGAAGGGAAAAUGCAUCUUCGAGGGAAGCCAAAUUCUGUCAAUGCUCCAUGAGAGCAAUCAUGGCAGGAUUUAGGGCAAUUGUGAGGCAAAUCACAUUGAGGAAAAUUGUUUGAAAAGAGACCCUGAGCUGGCAAUAAGGACCAUAUGUUCUUUCUUAUCUCUGCAGAAGUGGCCAUCUUUUUUAGCAUAGUGACCCAUGUGAGUGGCUGCCACAGUCUUGAUUUUUAGCAUCUACAAACACACUUGUAGUGAAAAUAAUAAAUUGCCUUAAAUGAAUAUGUCCCAUCAGUUUUUGUGGCUUUAGCCUCGUUUCACCUCUACUGGACUGUGAAGUGUGUCAUUGUAAUCUGCAACUUGCAGGAACAUUGGGACAGAUUUCCUGAAGUCAGUGGAACUCUCUCCUGUUAUGGCAGAGGUGAUUUUGGCUCAUCUAUCGCUGUGUUCUCCCACCCAGGUGGGCUGGAGUGGAUGAUGCCAUCUCCUCUGUUAAACACCAGUUUGGUUUGUCUGUGUUUUAACACUUCCUCCUUCCAGAAAAGCAGUGGUUGCUCUGAGCCCUGAAAUCUCACUUUGGCUGCAGUGCUGUUCAAUCAGGAAUAUCAGCUCUCAAAGGGAGCCCCUUAAUUAUGCCAUUUAACUCUGCCUUAAUAACUGGGUCUGGGUAGGACUUCAGAAACUCUGACUUUCAUUUCAUUUCUAGGGGCAGGAUUGGUACUCAAGUCACUUCACUGUACUGUCCAGGAGCAUCAGCCUUCAGGCUGCCAUGUGUUCAGAUUCACCUUCAUAUCAUCUUCAUUUAUGAAGAUGAUAAGAAAUGCAUCUACCUCCUCAAAACUGGUGACCUGUGAGGCUUUUCUGUGGCCUUUUAAAAUGUCGGCUUCCACACAAUGAGUGGGAGUUUAUAGAAUGUAAAACUUGCUGUUUUGGGAGACAUCCACAUGCUGUUAAAAAACCCUUCAAGUACAUCUUAGAAGGGGCAAGGAAUUGUGGUUUAUUUUAUUUUAUUUUGCCAUGAUUGUAUCAAAUCAAACAAAUUAGCAGCCAGCAGUGUGAGGAGCAGCUGCUCCAUCCAGCUCUGCCUUCCCAGACCUGUGCCAUUAGCACUCCUCCUUUCCUUUGUCUUUCCUCCCUCUCUCCAGUGUUCCUUUCAAAGGUUAUUAAGUAAAAUCAAUUUCAGCCUUCCCUUAGCCUAAUGCUUUCCAAUUUUUCUCUUCCCUGGCUCAUGUGUCUCAUCCUACAGGGAUAUUCCUGUCUCCAUUUUAACCAGCUCCUCGUUUGAAGUGCUUUCCUGAAGUCCAGGCUGAUGAGAAAAGUGAUUCUUCUAAGUAUAGGAUUCCAGGUGUUUGAAGAUGCUUGUAAAUCAUCCCAGCAGGAAGACCAAGCAUCAUAGUAUUCAGAGCGUUCACUUGGCCAGAAUAUUCCCCUGCAGCUCUGGGGAAGAGGGAGGUUGGGAAGUAAUCCUAAUGGAGAGACAAGAAGUGAAGAGCUACAGUCCAACCUCAGCUGAGGGGUACAGAGAGCCCUGAGCAUGAAACUUGCUGCAGAUCUGGAGGAAGAUGGAUGUGUUCCAUCUCCACCCAGCUGGGGCAGGCUUUUCCCAGGGAAAAAUAGCAGGAAUAUCAAAGGAUCAUAUUAGUUAGGAAAGAAGCAAGCAGCCUCAACAUGAAUUUUGUGUUUGCUGUGGUGUGAAGAGAAACACUGUGUUGGUGGUGGCAGUGAAGAUGAAUUUUGGGGAUGCAGGUAAGAUGUCCCAAUGCUUCCAUGUUCUCCAGGGAUGGCAGUCUGCAGGUCACAAUCCUGCUCUGGGGCUAGGGGAAUGGAUAGAGGGAAAAACCCCAAUCUCUAACAGGUCAGAUCCUGAGAACUGAGUGGUAAUUCCUGCAGAGUCAGUGGUAGGGAUCUCUCUGGGAAUAAAUGCUUGGAAAUUGCUGUUCAGUGCUUUCCUGCCACACAUCCCUCCUUUGUGAAGCUGGAUCCAGGCCUGAUCAGCAGCUGGUCACUGAGCACCUGCCCCAGUGCAAAAUGGCCAAGUUUAUCUAGAGAGCUGAGAAGCUGCAGCAAGUCACCCUCACUAUCCUGACUGCAGAGUUUGCAGGGCUCUGGAGCUCUGGGAUAUGGCUGGAAUUGUGCUCCAGGAAAAUGUUACCCCUGGAACAGCUCUGUUAACCUCUAGCAGCCUCUUGAAAGCUGCAGUGCUGGCCCAGGCAUUCAGUGCAAACAAAGCACAAGCUGCUGUAGCACAUUUGUGCCAGGGUUUCCUGAUUCCAAGUGCAGUCAGAUAUGGCCUAAAAUGAACCAUUGUUGUAACAAUGACAAGAGAGGCUGGGGUGAAAAUCAUGUUAUUUCCUUUGGAAAGAAAAGAGUCCUAUUUUUAACUAUUUUCCCCUUAAUCUUACUAUUUUGUUCUAGCAAUGUUUAUAGCAGAGAGCACAAUACUUCUUGUUGUGAUUGUUCUUUGUGUGACUGGGAUAUAAGUAGAUGUUCUGCAGCAAAUUCUCUGUCUGGGAUACAGAGUCCAAAGAGAUUAUGCUGCAGGAAGUUCUAAAAAAAACCCCAAACCCUUACACAAUCCCCCACUCACUCCCUCCAAAAAGCCAUAACCCAAACAAAUAAAAACCCUGAAAGAUUGUCAUAGUUCCAAAAUAACCACAAAAAAUGUGUGCUGGGCUUAAAACAGAAGUCUGGGGGAAAUGAUUGUCAGAUCCCUGGGUGCAUUUGAGAGCUGAUUUAUGUACAUGAAGCAGAAAAUGAGAAACACACACUUGGGCUGUGCUUGUGUGUUCUCACUGAGACAAAUGAGCAGCUCCCCUCAUUCUUUGUUUCCCCAUCUUCAUUAGAUCUGAUCUUCCCUUCUGCAUCCACUAAUCCUCACCAAAAUGGCUGGAAAGAGCUUCUCUGGUGCUCUGGAGAGUUUUCCUGAGAUUAUUUCUACUACUCCAGCAAGCUCAGUAGAGUUAUUGGAUGCUCAAAAGGACUUUUUGGUCUGGACUUUACAAAUAUGGACCCUGUUCAACAGUAAGUAGGCAGCAGAGAGGAGAGGGACUGCUCCCUGUCGCCUGAAACAAACUUUUAUUUCAAACAGUUCUUUGAAACCAGACAUUGGUAAAAGAUAAAAAAAAUCACAGGUGCUUUAUCAAGAUGUCCUUCUGCCUCAGCCCUUUGCUCUCGUUGAUGUAUCCACAGCCAUCUAUGCACAAAUUACAAAUAAUUUAUCAGGCUAUGAUCCUUUCCAUGAUUUUGCAGGAUGCUGCCUGAAGGAGAGAGCAGAGCUGGAGGCUUGUGGUGAGUGGGUGAUGUAUGAAAGGGGCUUGUGGCAGUGAGCAAGGGUGGAGCACAACUCACAAAUGAGAGGGAAGCAGAUUUUCAGCAGCUCUGUGCCAUUGUUUGGAUAAUGUGUUUUACUGAGGUUUUGAUAAAACUGGUAUUUAAAGGAAAAUCCCCAAAUCCAACCCCAUCAUGGAAACCAGCUGGUUAUUGCAAGAUGAUUUGUGUAAGUGGACAAACUGGGAGGUGCAGCUUCUUUGGAUAAUUUUGUGCUCUGAUCUGAGAAACCUUCAGGCAUCUCACCUACAGACUUGGCUCUUUUAUCCUAAUAUUUAGCCCUUCCAGAAUUUCUUUUGCCUAAGGAGUUCAAAGCUUUUUGUAGAGUUUUCUUUGUCAAGACACAAGACUUGUGAGAAGGUGGUGGAAAGCAGGAACACUGCUGGAAGGUCCUGGAUGUUCCCCUCGUGGUUUCCCUGCCCCUUUGGCUGCCAGCAGCAGGGAAUGGGAAUUCUUUUGGGAUGUGGCAACUCUGACUCUUAUUUUUGAGUUCUUUUCCACAGAACCAUCUUCCAGGGUGAAUUUUAUUUUCAUUUAGGGUUCAAUCGAGUGCAGUCACAGGUAAGCAGUGCAGAGUUCAGCUGGGUGCCCUCCCAGCUGAAUGGGAUUUUGGGAUUUUCCACAGUUUGGAAUUGCUGUCUCUGAGUGAGGGUGGGAUGGCAGAGAGCCCUGAGCUGGGUGUGGUGCUGCCUGUGAGGUGUCUGAGAGAGAGCUGACUGCUGCACAAACCUGCACAGCUUUUUCCCAGUUACCCUUCACACAACAUUGAAUAUUACCCAGGGGUUGUGAGGCUGGUUGGGAACUGAGGGCAUUUCUGGGCAACACUGAGCUGCCUUUCAGUGGGAAGGGAGGAGAGGGAGCUGUGGGAGCAGGAGGGGCUCUGUGCCAGGGCUCAGGGUCAGGAACAAGCUGGAGCAGGCACACAGGUACCCAGGCAGCUCCAGCAGCAGAGUUCAGCUCAGCCUCAGCUUGCUGGGCCUGAAUUAAAUCAGCAUUUACAGAGCACCAGGAGAAGGAAGGAUUCACCCAGGGAUAAACUGUGAGGGAUGCAGGAGCUCUCACUGCCCUGGGAAGCCUCACAGCUCUGCAGUAUCACAGAUUUUGUGAACCCAUGAGUAGGUGUGUGUCAGGAGUGGAGAUUUGCAGUGGCACCAUGAGCAGCCCCUGUGUGUCACACAGAUGAACUGCAGCACUUUGGGCUGGAAUUCUGCUGAGCAAUGGCAGCAGUCUCAUUUUUGGUUAGAAAACUCAAAAAUAUCCCAAUGCUUCCAUGUUCUCCACAGAUGGCAGUUUGCAGGGCUGGGGCUAAGGCGAAUGGAUUGAUUAAAAAACCCCAAUUUCUAACAGGUCAGAUCCUGAAAACUUUAAAAAGGACCUAAGAUCCUGAGAACUGCAAACAGGACCCCAAACUGGUCCUUUUCCAGUGCUGCUGCCUCACACACACUCAGCUGUUUGUGUGGCUGAUGUGAGAGCUCAUUGCUGGAGUAGAUUUAUCUUGGUUUACCUGAUCUGGGAUGGUGCCCUUGGCAAUUCCAGCCCCUUGGGGAUAAAGGUGUCACAGGAUGGAGCUCCCCAGGACAGAGCUUAAUCAGAAUAUCACACACCAAAAGCUGAUUUUUGAUUGCUUGCUUUUACUACUUAUUACAAACAUACUUUGUGUGUCUUUCACCCAUCUACAAAAAUGUAGGAUGCAUGGAAGACACAUGACAAAGUACAGCAAGUUCCCCUGAGAAGCAGAAGGCGUUUCUGGAAUUUCUCAUGUAGGAGUUCAAAAUCGGGAACGCUUGAUUUGAUCCUGACCUUGUGCUCCAUUUGCUUUGGC